rnacentral:rRNA from 1 species
CAAGAGCGUAUGUAAAAGUUGUUGCAGUUAAAAAGCUCGUAGUUGAACCUUGGGUUUGGUUGGCCGGUCCGCUUUUUUGCGAGUACUGGAUUCAACCGAGCCUUUCCUUCUGGCUAACCAGUCGUUUCGGCGGCUGGCGAACCAGGAUUUUUGCUUUGAGAAAAUUAGAGUGUUCAAAGCAGGCAUUAGCUUGAAUAUAUUAGCAUGGAAUAAUAGAAUAGGACGUUAUGGUUCUAUUUUGUUGGUUUCUAGGACCAUCGUAAUGAUUAAUAGGGACGGUCGGGGGCAUCAGUAUUCAGUUGUCAGAGGUGAAAUUCUUGGAUUUACUGAAGACUAACUACUGCGAAAGCAUUUGCCAAGGACGUUUUCAUUAA